ACCUAGCCCCGAUACUAGCGGCAUCCUUUGUGUUUUUUCUUUAAAAACACAAAGAUAUAGCGGAUAGCGGGAAAUAGC
rnacentral:sRNA from 1 species